GAGUUUGAUCGUGGCUCAGAUUGAACGCUGGCGGCAUGCCUAACACAUGCAAGUCGAACGGCAGCACUGGGAGCUUGCUCCCUGGUGGCGAGUGGCGGACGGGUGAGUAACGCGUAGGAAUCUGCCUCAUAGCGGGGGACAACUCGGGAAACUCGAGCUAAUACCGCAUACUACUCGAGAGAGGAAAGCAGGGGACCUUCGGGCCGUUGCACUAUGAGAUGAGCCUGCGUUGGAUUAGCUAGUUGGUAGGGUAAAGGCCUACCAAGGCGACGAUCCAUAACUGGUUUGUAGAGGAUGACCAGUCACACUGGGACUGAGACACGGCCCAGACUCCUACCGGGAGGCAGCAGUGGGGAAGUAUUGGAC
rnacentral:rRNA from 1 species